AGUCAACGAGGGGACAUGUGGGUCCAGUAUUGGUCCUUGCCAUUUCGAUACAUCAUUAAAUGUCCUAUGGGUUUCAACGUUUUAUUUGUCUCUUCACUAACAAAAGCUUCGGUUCAUGUUGAGGAAAAUGCAAGCACACAUGCUUUCAGUCUGACAAAGAUUUUGUCGGCAUGGCUACGUGGGGCGUUAUAUCACAUGCUGUCAUGUUAACAUAGAACUGCAUCAACUCAACUCUGACAGGGCAUGUUCCUUCCAAGUCGAACAUAGUAGUUGUUGGAUGUGUAACCGUCCAAGCUCACCACUAGUAGAUAUUGUCCGCUUUAGCUUGGUAUGUAUCGUCAUCAGCAUCACGAUUUUAAAAAGCAUCUAUUGAGAAGUGGUAAGUGUGUGGUUAAAGCAAGCCCUACCGUCAUCUUCCUCCAUGAUUGGUACCAAACUUUCCAUUUUGUUUUUUCUGUCCUCGCAUUUAUUCUCUGUAGUGAAAAAUGAGAAUGCUUUUUCUGUUUUUGUCGAAAUGUUUAUGAUAGGUGUGUGACAUCUCUUUGGAUUCUGCUGCGAGGGAGGGACCAACCCUCGCCGGGCCCUUACCUUUCACAUGCUGUCUUUGACUCCGUCAUCUCCUCAUAUGCUACUUUUUUGUUUUUUUUAGCUUCAAACCUUUCAUAAUAUUUGGUGUUUGGCUUAUAGAGUAAACUUUUGUACUUUUUAACUUUAGAGAUGAAAUUUAUAUUUAGUGUCCAAAUUUGUUUCUCCUCAAUUAUAGAAAGCAAUCUCACAUGUUACAUAAAUUUUGACUUAUAUUUACCUUUCGA